AUUGAACGCUGGCGGCAGGCCUAACACAUGCAAGUCGAGCGGAUGACGGGAGCUUGCUCCUUGAUUCAGCGGCGGACGGGUGAGUAAUGCCUAGGAGUCUGCCGGGUAGUGGGGGACAACGUUUCGAAAGGAACGCUAAUACCGCAUACGUCCUACGGGAGAAAGCAGGGGACCUUCGGGCCUUGCGCUAUCCGAUGAGCCUAGGUCGGAUUAGCUAGUUGGUGAGGUAAUGGCUCACCAAGGCGACGAUCCGUAACUGGUCUGUGAGGAUGAUCAGUCACACUGGAACUGAGACACGGUCCAGACUCCUACGGGAGGCAGCAGUGGGGAAUAUUGGACAAUGGGCGAAAGCCUGAUCCAGCCAUGCCGCGUGUGUGAAGAAGGUCUUCGGAUUGUAAAGCACUUUAAGUUGGGAGGAAGGGCAGUAAGUUAAUACCUAGCUGUUUUGACGUUACCGACAGAAUAAGCACCGGCUAACUCUGUGCCAGCCGCCGCCAUAAAAC
rnacentral:rRNA from 1 species